GCUGGUGUUUCUCAGUGGUUAGAGCAUUGGCUUGCACACCAGAGGGCCCUGGGUUCAAUUCCCAGCCCCAGUC
rfam:Myotis brandtii contig273322, whole genome shotgun sequence.